UCCUGGUUAGCUCAGUUGGUAAAGCUCUCCACUGGAAAUUGAGAGGUCCAAGAUUCAAUACCAGGAU
rnacentral:tRNA from 1 species